GAUGAACGCUGGCGGCGUGCCUAAUACAUGCAAGUCGAGCGAACGGACGAGGAGCUUGCUUCUCUGAUGUUAGCGGCGGACGGGUGAGUAACACGUGGAUAACCUACCUAUAAGACUGGGAUAACUUCGGGAAACCGGAGCUAAUACCGGAUGAUAUUUUGAACCGCAUGGUUCAAAAGUUAAAGACGGUCUUGCUGUCACUUAUAGAUGGAUCCGCGCUGCAUUAGCUAGUUGGUAAGGUAACGGCUUACCAAGGCAACGAUGCAUAGCCGACCUGAGAGGGUGAUCGGCCACACUGGAACUGAGACACGGUCCAGACUCCUACGGGAGGCAGCAGUAGGGACUCUUCCGCAAUGGGCGAAAGCCUGACGGAGCAACGCCGCGUGAGUGAUGAAGGUCUUCGGAUCGUAAAACUCUGUUAUUAGGGAAGAACAUAUGUGUAAGUAACUGUGCACAUCUUGACGGUACCUAAUCAGAAAGCCACGGCUAACUACGUG
rnacentral:rRNA from 1 species